rnacentral:rRNA from 1 species
GUAAGUGUCUAAGGGCGCAUGGUGGAUGCCUUGGCAUCGAGAGCCGAUGAAGGACGUGGGAGGCUGCGAUAUGCCUCGGGGAGCUGUCAACCGAGCGUGGAUCCGAGGAUUUCCGAAUGGGGAAACCCAGCACGAGUGAUGUCGUGCUACCCGCAUCUGAAUAUAUAGGGUGCGGGAGGGAACGCGGGGAAGUGAAACAUCUCAGUACCCGUAGGAGGAGAAAACAAUUGUGAUUCCGCAAGUAGUGGCGAGCGAACGCGGAACAGGCUAAACCGCACGCAUGGGUAACCGGGUAGGGGUUGUGUGUGCGGGGUUGUGGGAGGAUAUGUCUCAGCGCUACCCGGCUGAGAGGCAGUCAGAAAGUGUCGUGGUUAGCGGAAGUGGCCUGGGAUGGUCUGCCGUAGACGGUGAGAGCCCGGUACGCGAAAACCCGGCACCUGCCUAGUAUCAAUUCCCGAGUAGCAGCGGGCCCGUGGAAUCCGCUGUGAAUCCGCCGGGACCACCCGGUAAGCCUAAAUACUCCUCGAUGACCGAUAGCGGAUUAGUACCGUGAGGGAAUGGUGAAAAGUACCCCGGGAGGGGAGUGAAAGAGUACCUGAAACCGUGUGCCUACAAUCCGUCAGAGCCUCCUUUUCCUCUCCGGAGGAGGGUGGUGAUGGCGUGCCUUUUGAAGAAUGAGCCUGCGAGUCAGGGACAUGUCGCAAGGUUAACCCGUGUGGGGUAGCCGCAGCGAAAGCGAGUCUGAAUAGGGCGACCCACACGCGCAUACGCGCGUGUGAAUAGUGGCGUGUUCUGGACCCGAAGCGGAGUGAUCUACCCAUGGCCAGGGUGAAGCGCGGGUAAGACCGCGUGGAGGCCCGAACCCACGUACGUUGAAAAGUGCGGGGAUGAGGUGGGGGUAGCGGAGAAAUUCCAAUCGAACUCGGAGAUAGCUGGUUCUCCCCGAAAUAGCUUUAGGGCUAGCCUCGGUGAAUGGAGGAAGUCAGAGCCCGAUCUAUGGGUGAUGGCGUGCCUUUUGUAGAAUGAACCGGCGAGUUACGUUUAACAUGCAAGGUUAAGGUGAGAAGCCGGAGCCGCAGCGAAAGCGAGUCUGAAUAGGGCGACUCACACGCGCAUACGCGCGUGUGAAUAGUGGCGUGUUCUGGACCCGAAACCGUGUGAUCUACCCCUGUCCAGGGUGAAGCGCGGGUAAGACCGCGUGGAGGCCCGAACCCACUUAGGUUGAAGACUGAGGGGAUGAGCUGUGGGUAGGGGUGAAAGGCCAAUCAAACUCCGUGAUAGCUGGUUCUCCCCGAAAUGCAUUUAGGUGCAGCGUUGCGUGGUUCACCGCGGAGGUAGAGCUACUGGAUGGCCGAUGGGCCCUACUAGGUUACUGACGUCAGCCAAACUCCGAAUGCCGUGGUGUAAAGCGUGGCAGUGAGACGGCGGGGGAUAAGCUCCGUACGUCGAAAGGGAAACAGCCCAGAUCGCCGGCUAAGGCCCCCAAGCGUGUGCUAAGUGGGAAAGGAUGUGCAGUCGCAAAGACAACCAGGAGGUUGGCUUAGAAGCAGCCACCCUUGAAAGAGUGCGUAAUAGCUCACUGGUCAAGUGAUUGUGCGCCGAUAAUGUAGCGGGGCUCAAGCACACCGCCGAAGCCGCGGCACAUCCACCUUGUGGUGGGUGUGGGUAGGGGAGCGUCCCUCAUUCAGCGAAGCCACCGGGUGACCGGUGGUGGAGGGUGGGGGAGUGAGAAUGCAGGCAUGAGUAGCGACAAGGCAAGUGAGAACCUUGCCCGCCGAAAGACCAAGGGUUCCUGGGCCAGGCCAGUCCGCCCAGGGUGAGUCGGGACCUAAGGCGAGGCCGACAGGCGUAGUCGAUGGACAACGGGUUGAUAUUCCCGUACCCGUGUGUGGGCGCCCGUGACGAAUCAGCGGUACUAACCACCCAAAACCGGAUCGAUCACUCCCCUUCGGGGGUGUGGAGUUCUGGGGCUGCGUGGGAACUUCGCUGGUAGUAGUCAAGCGAAGGGGUGACGCAGGAAGGUAGCCGUACCAGUCAGUGGUAACACUGGGGCAAGCCGGUAGGGAGAGCGAUAGGCAAAUCCGUCGCUCACUAAUCCUGAGAGGUGACGCAUAGCCGGUUGAGGCGAAUUCGGUGAUCCUCUGCUGCCAAGAAAAGCCUCUAGCGAGCACACACACGGCCCGUACCCCAAACCGACACAGGUGGUCAGGUAGAGCAUACCAAGGCGUACGAGAUAACUAUGGUUAAGGAACUCGGCAAAAUGCCCCCGUAACUUCGGGAGAAGGGGGACCGGAAUAUCGUGAACACCCUUGCGGUGGGAGCGGGAUCCGGUCGCAGAAACCAGUGAGGAGCGACUGUUUACUAAAAACACAGGUCUGUGCGAAGCCGCAAGGCGAAGUAUACGGGCUGACGCCUGCCCGGUGCUGGAAGGUUAAGAGGACCCGUUAACCCGCAAGGGUGAAGCGGAGAAUUUAAGCCCCAGUAAACGGCGGUGGUAACUAUAACGGUCCUAAGGUAGCGAAAUUCCUUGUCAGGUAAAUUCUGACCCGCACGAAUGGCGUAACGACUUGGGCGCUGUCUCAACGAGAGAUCCGGUGAAAUUUUAAUACCUGUGAAGAUGCAGGUUACCCGCGACAAGACGGAAAGACCCCAGGGAGCUUUACUGCAGCUUGAUAUUGAAUUUGGGUACGAUCUGUACAGGAUAGGUGGGAGACUGUGAAACCUCGACGCCAGUUGGGGCGGAGUCGUUGUUGAAAUACCACUCUGAUCGUAUUGGGCAUCUAACCUGGUACCCUAAGCGGGUACGGGGACCGUGUCAGGCGGGCAGUUUGACUGGGGCGGUCGCCUCCUAAAGAGUAACGGAGGCGUUCAAAGGUUCCCUCAGAAUGGUUGGAAAUCAUUCGAAGAGUGCAAAGGCAUAAGGGAGCUUGACUGCGAGACCUACAAGUCGAGCAGGGACGAAAGUCGGACUUAGUGAUCCGGUGGUACCGCAUGGAAGGGCCAUCGCUCAACGGAUAAAAGCUACCCUGGGGAUAACAGGCUUAUCUCCCCCAAGAGUCCACAUCGACGGGGAGGUUUGGCACCUCGAUGUCGGCUCAUCGCAUCCUGGGGCUGAAGUAGGUCCCAAGGGUUGGGCUGUUCGCCCAUUAAAGCGGUACGCGAGCUGGGUUCAGAACGUCGUGAGACAGUUCGGUCCCUAUCUGUCGUGGGCGUAGGAAAUUUGAGAGGAGCUGUCCUUAGUACGAGAGGACCGGGAUGGACGUACCGCUGGUGCACCAGUUGUUCCGCCAGGAGCAUGGCUGGGUAGCUACGUACGGACGGGAUAAGCGCUGAAAGCAUCUAAGCGUGAAGCCCCCCUCAAGAUGAGAUUUCCCACCCACUUGGUGGGAUAAGGCCCCCCGCAGAACACGGGUUCAAUAGGUCAGACCUGGAAGCUCAGUAAUGGGUGUAGGGAACUGGUGCUAACCGGCCGAAAACUUACAACA